GGAGGGGUGCCGGAGCGGUCUAACGGGCAGACCUGGAAAGUCUGUGUAUCAGAAAUGGUACCGCGAGUUCGAAUCUCGCCCCCUCCGCCA
rnacentral:tRNA from 1 species